CUCACCCUGGGCUCCAGGUCACAGAGUUGCUGUGACUGCAGCGAGAAGAUGAAACUGCAGCUGGGAGCUCUGAGCAGCCGCAGCAUGGGGCAUCCUUACCUCCGAGGGGGCCAGCUUGGGACCCCAGAAUUCCUGCAUGGACACGGCACCUCCAGGCUCAGCCAUCUCUACACGGCUCCCACAGGACCCUGGGGUGACACCAGACGAACGCUGGGUUCUACGUGGCUCCAGGAAUGUUUCAUAGGAGGUGUUUAACUCCAGCUGUGGCCAAGGAUCAUCUCCAGCAGCAUGGCUUUUCUACUGACCAUCCCCGCUGAAUAUCAUGAACCAGGAAAAGGUCAUAUAAUGGCCCCUAAAGGAAAAACCCAGUUCCCCAACCCCCUCCUGUAAGAUGUCAGGUAUCUUACAAACAGAUCAAGGACUUGGGAUGCAAAUCCAUUCAAAUUUAACAGUGCUUUCCCUUGAGUAGCUGAAUUUGGCCUGAAAGAUUCAGCCAAAUUCCUGGUCUUCCUGGUGCACUGUGGAGACUUGAUGAGACCUUUCAGUUCCUGCCACUUUCUGCCCACAUCUGUUCCCCCUUUAUCUGACCCUAUCAAUGCCAGCAGCACUGGGCCACCUUUAUUGUGCACCAGUUUGGAUGCCCAGCUCAUGACAGUGUCAUGUCCCAUGGUAGAUGACUCAUUUGGGACCCGCCCCAAGUGUCAUUCUGAGAUUUCCACUCCAGACAAAUUAUUAGCUCCCAGCCUUGAUGGAUGUGCUCGCUAGCCUUAGGUUACUUAUGAAGCAUCUUUCUUCUGUAGUUUCUGAUUAAAAACAUCUUUCUGUUUCAUCUUUA